rfam:Deltaproteobacteria bacterium RBG_16_64_85 RBG_16_scaffold_8100, whole genome shotgun sequence.
GGAGGGAUGGCCGAGCGGCUGAAGGCGGCGGUCUUGAAAACCGCUGAGCGGAAACGCUCCGUAGGUUCGAAUCCUACUCCCUCCG